AUAUCUUUUUCGGCCUUUUGAUUAAGAUCAAGUGUAAUAUCUGUUCUUAUCAGUUUAAUAUUUGAUAACGGAAACUUGUAGGUUCCCGAUGGGUUAGUCUAUAGGUCUACCUAUAUGUUUGCCUUUCUGUGUUGUCCUUGCUUCGCACUCCCGCAAAGACUUAGACACGUGUA
rnacentral:snRNA from 1 species